rnacentral:rRNA from 1 species
GGUGAACGCUGGCGGCAGGCCUAACACAUGCAAGUCGAACGGCUGAAGGGUGAGAGCUCGCUGAUUCGGGGGGCGACGGGCGGGUGAGUGAGGAGUAUCUGGCAAGCCAUGUUGUAGUGGGUGAGAAAGCGGGCACAUAUACGGUAUACCCGCAUACGGCCUAAGUGUGAAAGCUUGGGAUCUUCGGACAUAGGAUGAGCCAAUGACCGGAUGUCGGAUUAGUUAGUUGGUGGGCUACAGGCCAACCAAGGCGACGAUCCGUAGCUGGUCUGAUAGGAGGAUCAGCCACGCUGGAACUGAGACACGGUCCAGACUCCUACGGGAGGCAGCAGUGGGGAAUAUUGGACAAUGGGCGAAAGCCUGAUCCAGCCAUACCGCGUGGUUGAAGAAGGUCUUCGGGUUGUAAAGCCCUUUGAUUGGGAAGGAAGAGCAGCAGGUUAAUACCUUGCUGUUCUGACGUUACCCAAAGAAUAAGCACCGGCUAACUUCGUG